UAUACUACAAACAGCGCCUCAGCCUGCAAGGGAGACAGACAUGAGAUCCUGGCAGAAACAUAUCCGUCUGCAAUCAACAGCAGCGGAUGUUUUGCAAGGACCUCCCAGUUUUUUGGGCCACAUUUGAGCCGACCCAGGAUGGAUGACCCUGCAGCAGGUGCUGAAGAGCCAUUGAAGGAUGUUAUGCUGGUGCCUCCUGGAAUAGGGCUGGCCUUGGAAAGACCUUCCUGGCUGCAGCGUGGCAGCUGGCCCAGAGCUGGGUGCUGCAGAGAGCAGGAAGUAUCGGGGAGCAGCAAGGAGCCCAUGGAACUGGCUGGAAUAACACUUAUGCAAUGGGAAUGCACGGGGCCCGCCUCCCGGAGCCUGGCUGGUGGAGCACUUGGCAAGACCGGAGUCCUCUGCAGAGUGGAAAGUCCUGCUGCUCUGCUGCAAGUGAACUUCCCUCGGAUGGCUGACUCAGGGGAGGCCGGAGCUGGCUGCCUGGGCCUGGGCCUGGGCUUGGGCUGGAGCUACUGGGCAAGGAGGAGCUGGGGACGUGCAGGAAGGGCUGUGAUGGCACAUCAUGGCCAUGUCUAUAACAGAGCAAGCAGAAGACACUGUGUGCUGGGAAGCUCUGCUGUCUUUCCCAGGCAGUGGA